AACACUGAUCAUUGAGAAGGUCAAUGCAGCAUGUUUGUAUUGCCAGGCAAAGUGCUUUCUUCUCCAGUGACUCACACUUUUACUGAAAGCAUAACCUUUGUCUUCAGCAAUAUUCAACUUACACUCAUAAUUCUUCAAACAAUGUAGUCUAAACUACAAUUAGUCCCUUUUCUUAAGGCAUUGCCACUCCUGGGAAAUCAGAAAAGGAAAACAGGCAUUGUCCACUUUUAAUAACAUUUUUUCCCUAGGAGACCAUGGGGUAAAAGCAAGGUGGUAUGGAAACUGCAUCCACGUAGAUGACGUACGGAGGAACAUUUCGAAGAAGAGCAGCAAGGUUGAGGGCUUUAGCACAACAAUCUUUCCUGCGUUCUCAGGGAGACUCCACAUUCUUUCCGAAGAGAAGGGGGGAAAAAAAACAAGGGCCGGUCCGGAGGAACACCGCACUGCAUCGGAUCGCUGGAAAGUCGGCUGUAAAAAUACAGAUGGAGGCAAGUUUAUUAUCCUCUUUCACAGUAGUCAGCAGGAAAAAAAGCGUUUCAGUUUUCAUGGUCACAGCCCCAGAAUCACUGCACUAUUAGGAGCCUUCCGAGUUGCCUAGGGAACCAUGCCACGUAACGUUCCUUUCCAUUCCUGCCAUACCAUUGCCUCCAUUGGAUUCUUGGCAAACAGAAGUCAUGGCAACUCCGGAAACCCACAACCUGGGAGGAGGUCUGGUUCCUCGCAUAGCGUGUGGCUUCUCAAAAAACCUUAGCAUAAUAGCCGCAGCCUGGAUUCAGUCGUGACUUUUUAGGUUUCUUUUUUGUUACUACAAAUGUGUUUCAAAGAAAUCCCAAUUUUUAUCACUGUAUGUUUGUAACAAUUAGCUUGUAAAUAAGGAUAAAUGUUCAUGAAAUCCAGCCCUGGAAGCUGAUACUUAUAGUAAUUAUACUGUCAUAGGCCCAUACUGUCUCCUAAAGACUCCUAAAACAACAGGAUUUUAAAUUAUUUUAAAUGUUUAAAUAACGUUAUUGCAGAGGUUUUCAAACUUUUCUAAUCCAGGAAGCUUCAGCCAGUCUCAAACACAUCAUAAGUUAAUAAUUUUUAUUUAUUUUUUUUAAUUUUUA